UACGGGGGGGGCAAGCGUUGUUCGGAAUUACUGGGCGUAAAGGGCGCGUAGGCGGCCUUCUAAGUCGAACGUGAAAUCCCCGGGCUCAACCCGGGAACUGCGUCCGAUACUGGAAGGCUUGAAUCCGGGAGAGGGAUGCGGAAUUCCAGGUGUAGCGGUGAAAUGCGUAGAUAUCUGGAGGAACACCGGUGGCGAAGGCGGCAUCCUGGACCGGUAUUGACGCUGAGUGCGCGAAAGCCAGGGGAGCAAACGGG
rnacentral:rRNA from 1 species